GGCGGAACUGCGCCGCUAAUAAAUCACGACUCGGGGAACGAGGAGCUCCAAAGCUGGAGCUAGAAAAGGAGUUAUUCGCAUGCGUAUAGAACUUCCAUCAAGUUAUGGCUGGCUCAUUUAGACCAAAGCACGUAGUAAAAUGGAGACUGUACACUGAAAGUGUGAGUACA